CCUACGGGAGGCAGCAGUAGGGAAUCUUCCACAAUGGACGAAAGUCUGAUGCAGCAACGCCGCGUGAGUGAUGAAGGUUUUCGGCUCGUAAAGCUCUGUUGGUAGUGACGAAAGAUGGAGGUAGUUACUGUCCUUUAUUUGACGGUCAUUACUUAGACAGUCACGGCUAACUACGUGCCAGCAUCUGCGGUAGUACGUAGGUGGCAAGCGUUGUCCGGAUUUAUUGGGCGUAAAGCGAGUGCAGGCGGUUCGAUAAGUCUGAUGUGAAAGCCUUCGGCUCAACCGGAGAAUUGCAUCAGAAACUGGUGAACUUGAGUGCAGAAGAGGAGAGUGGAACUCCAAGUGUAGCGGUGGAAUGCGUAGAUAUAAGGAAGAACACCAGUGGCGAAGGCGGCUCACUGGUCUGCAACUGACGCUGAGGCUCGAAAGCGUGGGUAGCGAACAGGAUUAGAUACCCGAGUAGUC
rnacentral:rRNA from 1 species